rnacentral:rRNA from 1 species
UACGGGAGGCAGCAGUGGGGAAUAUUGGACAAUGGGCGAAAGCCUGAUCCAGCCAUGCCGCGUGUGUGAAGAAGGUCUUCGGGUUGUAAAGCACUUUAAAUUGGGAGGAAGGGCAGUCAGCGAAUACCUUGCUGUCUUGACGUUACCGACAGAAUAAGCACCGGCUAACUCUGUGCCAGCAGCCGCGGU